rnacentral:rRNA from 1 species
ACGCGGUGAGUAACGCUNGGGAAUUUUCCUCAAGGUACGGAACAACUCAGGAAACUUGGGCUAAUACCGUAUGAUGUCUAGCGACAAAGAUUUAUCGCCUUGGGAUAAGCCCGCGUCAGAUUAGGUAGUUGGUGGGGUAACGGCCUACCAAGCCUGCGAUCUGUAGCUGGUCUGAGAGGACGAUCAGCCACACUGGGACUGAGACACGGCCCAGACUCCUACGGGAGGCAGCAGUGGGCGACUCUUGCGCAAUGGGCGAAAGCCUGACGCAGCCAUGCCGGUGAAUGAUGAAGGUCUUAGGAUUGUAAAGUUCUUUCGCUCGUGACGAUGAUGACGGUAACGAGAGAAGAAGCCCCGGCUAACUUCGUGCCAGCAGCCGCGGUAAUACGAAGGGGGCUAGCGUUGUUCGGAAUUACUGGGCGUAAAGCGCGCGUACGCGGUUCUUGCAAGCCAGAGGUGACAAUGCCUGAGCUCCAAUUNAGGAAUUCGCCUUUCGGGACUCGCCNAGGCUUCUGANGACUUGGCGAGGGUGGACCGUCGGGGAAAUUUCCCCCUAAGCGUGUCACCACGCGGUCGNAACACAUUUCCCGGGAAAAAAUC